CAGGAAAUAGUUUAUUAAAAUAUUAAUUUUGGAUAUUAGAGAUAAAGAGGUUUCUUUUUUCCUGA
rnacentral:tRNA from 1 species